CUGCUGCCUCCCGUAGGAGUCUGGUCCGUGUCUCAGUACCAGUGUGGGGGACCUUCCUCUCAGAACCCCUACACAUCGUCGCCUUGGUGGGCCGUUACCCCGCCAACCAGCUAAUGCGACGCAUGGCCAUCCGCAGCCGGUAAACCUUUGGACCCGAAGGGAUGCCCCUCCGGGUCGUUACGCGGUAUUAGACGGGGUUUCCCCCGAUUAUCCCCCUGCUGCGGGCAGGUUCCAUACGUGUUACUCACCCGUGCGCCGGUCGCCGGCGGAAGCGCGAACGCUCCCCCG
rnacentral:rRNA from 1 species